rnacentral:misc_RNA from 1 species
GAAUAUUAGCGCAUCUACUUGUAGAGCGUGACCUCCACUUUCUAACUCUGUGCAUUUAUUGGCGGAAGAGACUUGAGCAAUCGAGUCUUCUUCUCGCGGCUCAUUUUAUAACACUAGUUAAAGUAUGUAACGAAAUAUCGAAACAAAAAAAACUUUCAACAACGGAUCUCUUGGCUUG